CAACUUUCAGCAACGGANCUCUUGGCUCUCGCAUCGAUGAAGAACGCAGCGAAAUGCGAUAAGUAAUGUGAAUUGCAGAAUUCAGUGAAUCAUCGAAUCUUUGAACGCACCUUGCGCUCCUUGGUAUUCCGAGGAGCAUGCCUGUUUGAGUGUCAUUU
rnacentral:rRNA from 1 species